rnacentral:rRNA from 1 species
AACGAACGUUAGCGGCGCGCCUAACACAUGCAAGUCGCGCGAGAAAGGGCUUCGGCCCCAGUAAAGCGGCGCACGGGUGAGUAACACGUAGGUCAUCUUCCCCUGAGUGGUGGAUAACUCUCCGAAAGGAGAGCUAAUACAGCAUAAGACCACGACCUCGCCGAGGUUGUGGCCAAAGCAGACCUCUUCAUGAAAGUUUGCGCUUAGGGAUGAGCCUGCGGCCCAUCAGCUAGUUGGUAGGGUAAUGGCCUACCAAGGCUAAGACGGGUAGCUGGUCUGAGAGGAUGAACAGCCACACUGGAACUGAGACACGGUCCAGACUCCUACGGGAGGCAGCAGUGGGGAAUCUUGCGCAAUGGGCGAAAGCCUGACGCAGCGACGCCGCGUGAGCGAUGAA